UUGCGGCCAAAGAUGGCCUCUACUUGUAAGCUAUCGCUGAGGGAUGGGCCUGCGGGCCAUUAGCUUGUUGGUGAGGUAACGGCUCACCAAGGCUGUGAUGGCUAGCUGGUCUGAGAGGAUGACCAGCCACACUGGGACUGAGACACGGCCCAGACUCCUACGGGAGGCAGCAGUGGGAAUAUUGCGCAAUGGGCGAAAGCCUGACGCAGCGACGCCGCGUGGGUGAUGAAGGCCUUCGGGUCGUAAAGCCCUGUCGCAGGGGAAGAAUAAGCAUCGGUAUAAUACGCCGGUGCCCUGACGGUACCCUGCAAGAAAGCACCGGCUAACUCCGUG
rnacentral:rRNA from 1 species